rnacentral:piRNA from 11 species
AGCAGAGUGGCGCAGCGGAAGCGU